rnacentral:rRNA from 1 species
UACGAAGGGGGCUAGCGUUGCUCGGAAUUACUGGGCGUAAAGCGCACGUAGGCGGAUUGUUAAGUCGGGGGUGAAAUCCUGGAGCUCAACUCCAGAACUGCCUUCGAAACUGGCGAUCUUGAGUCCGGGAGAGGUGAGUGGAACUGCGAGUGUAGAGGUGAAAUUCGUAGAUAUUCGCAAGAACACCAGUGGCGAAGGCGGCUUACUGGUCCGGUUCUGACGCUGAGGCGCGAAAGCGUGGGGAGCAAACAGG